rnacentral:rRNA from 1 species
UGCCAGCCGCCGCGGUAAUACGGAGGGUGCAAGCGUUGUUCGGAAUUAUUGGGCGUAAAGCGCGUGUAGGCUAAAAUGGUAAAAAAAGAUUAAAGAACAAAGCUUAACUUUGUAAAUGUUUUUUUUGAAUAUUUUUAUGAGUUUAGUGGAAGAUAGUGGAAUUGCUAAUGGAAGGGUAAAAUUUUUAGAUAUUAGUAGGAAUAUCACAAGCGUAGGCAGCUAUCUUAAUUAAUACUGACGCUGAGGUACGAAAGUUUGGGUAGCAAACAGGAUUAGAUA